GAUGAACGCUGGCGGCGUGCCUAAUACAUGCAAGUCGAGCGAACGGACGAGAAGCUUGCUGCUCUGAUGUUAGCGGCGGACGUGUGAGUAACACGUGUAUAACCUACCUAUAAUACUGGGAUAACUUCGGGAAACCGGAGCUAAUACCGGAGAAUAUUUUGAACCGCAUGGUUCAAAAGUGAAAGACGGUCUUUCGGUCACUUAUAGAUGGAUCCGCGCUGCAUUAGCUAGUUGGUAAGGUAACGGCUUACCAAGGCAACGAUGCAUAGCCGACCGGAGAGGGGGAUAGGCGACACUGGAGGUGAACCACGGUCAAGAGGACUAAGGGAGGGAGCAGUAGGGAACCUGACGCAGUGGUCGGAAACAUUACGGAGUAACGCGGAGUGAGAGAUAAAGAUCUUCGGAGCGUAAAAAUGUGUUAUGAGGGAAGAACAUAUGUGUAAGUAACUGUGCACAUCUUGACGGUAACGAAUAAGAAAGCAACGGCUAACUACGUG
rnacentral:rRNA from 1 species